rnacentral:rRNA from 1 species
GACGAACGCUGGCGGCGUGCUUAACACAUGCAAGUCGAACGAGUGGCGAACGGGUGAGUACUACGUGGGUAACCUUCCCUACUCUAUGGGAUAGACCUGGGAAACGGGUUGUAAUACCGACUACAGGUGGAUGGGCUCGUGGCGUAUGGGCUUGUUGGUGGGUUGAUGGUUACCAAGGCGGGACGGGUAGCCGGCCUGAGAGGGUGAACGGCAACUUGGGGACUGACAUACGGCCCAGACGAGUACGGGGGGGAGAAGUGGUGGAUAUUGAAGAAUGGGUGAAAGCCUGAUGCAGCGACGGCGCGUGGGGGAUGAGGGCCGUAGGGUUGUAAAGUUAUUUAGCUAUAGAAAGGGUAGGUGGCGAAGAAGCGACGGCUAACUACGUGCCAGCAGCCGCGGUAAUUC